GUGGAGAACCUGAAGCAGAGGACAUUCAAAAAGAAAAGGAAAAAGAGAAGGAUGUGUCUACGAAGGACAAGAAGGAGCAGAAAGAUGCACAGACUCAGGACAAAAGUGAGAUGGAGCCCAACGCGCCUUCCCAAAAAGUAGAUGUGACAACACUUGGUGCUGACCAAGGGAGUGAUGUGGCAUCAGCAGGCCCAACCGUGGUCCUUGAAGACGAAAAAUGUUUCAGGACUCCAGUUCAAGAAACACUGCAAUAAAAUGGUCUCAAACUACGUACAUGAACAGUUUACAUGUAAUUUUCUUUCUUAAAUUAAUAUAUAUAUAUAUAUUAAUAUUAUUUCAAUAUUUUGAUAUAGUGUUUUGAAUGAAACCACAUCUCACUGAAGUUCUUUGUAUAAACGUGAUGUAACCUCAGAAACUAAGUCCCAAAAUUUCAAAAUUAAAUGAAACAAAUAUGAUGUUUUGACCGUAUACUUUAGUCCUUAAAUGUAUGUUUACAAUAAGUGCACUUGGUUUGUUUAUUUUGCAUUAUAUUACGAGACUCACUGUGUUUUAUAAAUCUACCCUUUGUGACGUUUCACUAUCCAUGUCAGUCAGCGACUCGAAUAACGGACAUUCGUUUUUAGGCCACGCCCACAUGAGUUCUGUAAGUAGUACGCCUAUAAAACUGCUAGUUUGUGGUGAAAUGAAAUCUAUUGAUCUAAAUCUAGGGUCCUCAGUAUGUUCAUUUUGAACCAGCUUUUGUAACCACAGAAACAGUCUGUCUUAAGGAAUGUACCGCGUAUAACAAAACUGACCUCAAAAGUUCUGCUUUUGAAGUUAACAAUCGAGUUUCUUUAGGAAUCUCUGCUUUCACUUCCUCUGGAAACUGCAGCAUCACAAAAUAAAAAUCAAAUAAGAGUUCCCAAAGAUGACACUGUCAUUCUCAUCAGCUGAACGUGGGUGGAUCACAUCUUCAAUGUCGAAUCUACCGGAAACUGCAAGGGAGAGUCAUUGCAAUUUGAAGAGAUGUUGUGGGACUUUGCACAUGUUUGCAACUCUGUGUCAGAGGUGUAAAGAGUACCUGAAAACCAUACUUAAGUAAAAGUACAGAUACCUUGCAGUGAAAAUUACUCCAUUACAAGUUACAAGUCACCAAUUCCAAAAUGACUUGAGUAAAAGUCUUUGAGUAUCUGAUUUUAACAGUACUUGAGUAUUUUACUCGUACUGAAUGUAGGCUCAAAGCAGCACUAGUCCUCAACACUUAAGAGACACAUCAGUGAAAAACUAGAAACAGUUGAUUUGUGAGGUGAGCAAUCGCAUUUAUUUUCUUAAAUCAUAAUAAGACUGAACACCUCAAAAUUGCAACAAAUCAUGGUCGACACCAUAACCUACGUCAUUACAAACACCCUAAGUCUCAUUUAAGCUCAAGUGCUCAUAAGUAAACCAAAGUCCUUCAAAAAGGUCUCUUCAAUAUAACAGAUAAAUAAAAUAAUGUUAAGUAGAAUUAAAAAGUCAAAGCCUUUUUGCACUGGACAUGCUGGUUUGGGCCUCAUCGCCAGCUGCAGUCAUGUCCUCAUUUCACAUACACUGUUAGCCCUUACCUGCCAUUUCUACAGUAAUAUAUUGGCAACACUGUUGCCAGCUAGUUACUGUAGGUGUUUUACAGUAAACUACUGCAAUGGCUGUUUGAAGAUACAUUAUUAAAGAAUCUAUUAACGCACUUAAGUCACACAGUCUUAGAUGAACAAGUGUAAAUAACAGAUGAACACAAUAAAUCUGUCAAGAUUUCAUCAGAGGAUAAUUAAACACAAACAUCAAUAACAUCUUCACAUAUUACAGACACCACUUUCACUUUAUUUCUGUCAUCUGUGUAAGAUCUUAUUGAGAUUUAACUCUAGUUCAUAGUGGUUCAAUUAUGUUUUAAGUCACCAUUAUGGCGAUCAGUGUUUGCUUUGGUUGGACUCUUUGACUUUCUUGUAGCUUUAAAAUGUACACUUAUACAAUAACACUGAAAGGGACUUUACAGGAACCGCAACUUUAUGUUUGCUUA